rnacentral:rRNA from 1 species
AACGAACGCUGGCGGCAUGCCUAACACAUGCAAGUCGAACGAGACCUUCGGGUCUAGUGGCGCACGGGUGCGUAACGCGUGGGAACCUGCCCUUAGGUUCGGAAUAACUCCCCGAAAGGGGUGCUAAUACCGGAUAAUGUCUUCGGACCAAAGAUUUAUCGCCCUUGGAUGGGCCCGCGUUGGAUUAGCUAGUUGGUAGGGUAAAAGCUUACCAAGGCGACGAUCCAUAGCUGGUUUGAGAGAAUGAUCAGCCACACUGAGAUUGAGACACGGCCGGGACUCCUACGGGAGGCAGGAGUGGGGAAUGGUGGACAGUGGGCGGAAGGCUGAUCCAGCUAGGCCGCGUGAGUGAUGAAGGCCGUAGAGUUGUAAAGCUCUAUUACCCGGGAUGAUAAUGACAGUACCGGGAGAAUAAGCCCCGGCUAACUACGUG